rnacentral:rRNA from 1 species
CCUACGGGGGGCAGCAGUGGGGAAUAUUGGACAAUGGGCGAAAGCCUGAUCCAGCCAUGCCGCGUGUGUGAAGAAGGCCUUCGGGUUGUAAAGCACUUUCAGUGGGGAAGAAAGCCUUGGGGCUAAUACCCUCGAGGAAGGACAUCACCCACAGAAGAAGCACCGGCUAACUCCGUGCCAGCAGCCGCGGUAAUACGGAGGGUGCGAGCGUUAAUCGGAAUUACUGGGCGUAAAGCGCGCGUAGGCGGUCUGAUAAGCCGGUUGUGAAAUCCCCGGGCUCAACCUGGGAACGGCAUCCGGAACUGUCAGGCUAGAGUGCAGGAGAGGAAGGUAGAAUUCCCGGUGUAGCGGUGAAAUGCGUAGAGAUCGGGAGGAAUACCAGUGGCGAAGGCGGCCUUCUGGACUGACACUGACGCUGAGGUGCGAAAGCGUGGGUAGCAAACAGGAUUAGAUACCCUAGUAGUC